GCCAGGUGUGGUGGCAGGUGCCUGUAGUCUCAGCUACUUGGGAGGCUGAGGCAGGAGGAUCACUAGAGCCCAGGAGUUCUGGGCUAUAGUGUGCUAUGCCCAUCGGGUAUCUGCACUAAGUUCAACAUUAUUAUGGUGACCUCCCGGGAGCAAGGAACCACCAGGUUGCCUAAGGAGUGGUGAACCGGCCCAGGUAGGAAACAGAGCAGGUCAAAACUCCCGCGCUGAUCAGUAGUGGGAUCACACCUGUGAAUAGCCACUGUACUCCAGCCUGGGCAACAUAGUGAGACCCUGUCUCU
rnacentral:SRP_RNA from 1 species